rnacentral:rRNA from 1 species
AGUGGAUUAGUGGCGCACGGGUGAGUAACGCAUAGAUGACAUGCCCUUUAGUUUGGGAUAGCCACUAGAAAUGGUGAUUAAUACCAAAUACCACCCUACGGGGGAAAGAUUUAUCGCUAAAGGAUUGGUCUAUGUCCUAUCAGCUUGUUGGUGGAGGUAAGAGCCCACCAAGGCAAUGACGGGUAUCCGGCCUGAGAGGGUGAACGGACACACUGGAACUGAGACACGGUCCAGACUCCUACGGGAGGCAGCAGUAGGGAAUAUUGCUCAAUGGGCGCAAGCCUGAAGCAGCAACGCCGCGUGGAGGAUGAAGGUUUUAGGAUUGUAAACUCCUUUUGUGAGAGAAGAUA